CCCUGUAUCGAAAGUGACAUGGCCUCCUGUGGCCAUGGUCAUUGAUAGUACAGGAAGAUGAACCAGAGAGCCUUUCCCGUGUUUGAAGGAUGAUCAGUUCCUUUCAGACCCUGAUGCUCUCUUACA